rfam:Lasallia pustulata genome assembly, contig: scaffold475_size37941
ACGGCUGUAGGUUAAUGGUAAACUAGUCGUCUUCCAAACGAAAUUUGUCGAUUCGAAUUCGAUUGGCCGUA